CGUUAAUAGAAUUCCCUAUGAAUUGUGGACAAAAACCUGAAGUUGAGGUAGUUCCCAAUAUUUGGUUAGAUAAAAAGGAAGAAAUAUGCUAUUGUUUUUGGCCGCAAACAGCUUCCACAAAACAAAUUCGCAAUGCUAUUGAGAAAUGUUAUUUGCCAGAAAAAAACUGGAUGAAAUAUAAAUGCAAAGUAUUGCAUACAUAUGCUUCUUACGAUGAUGCGAGGAAAAGAUUAGUAGAUGCAGAAUUUACGUCUACCCUCGAAACUGAUGUAGAACUGCAUGAAAACCAACGGCCAAAAAGAAAUAUAAAAAAACUUUUCGACUUUAUUUGAAUUCUUUAGAUUCAGAUACAGAUGAAGAAAUAUCAUGCAAUAAGAAUAAAAUCUCUUCUCCACCUAUGUUAGGAACACCAACAAAAAAUAGUAAUGUUUUACCGCGAGAAGAUCUUUAAUUACUUCCAAACUAUCAACAUCGACAGCCGAUAGUUCUCCAAGGUUUUCAGAAAGAGCAGUUAGUCCUCCGCAGAAUACAUUGAGAACUACAUUGACCAGUUCACAAUUUGACAAAUCAGAUUUUUCUUGCCUUAUUCUAACAAAAUUAGCAAGCUUAGAAAAUUCUAUGAAUUUGCUUUUUCCGAUGGUUAAACAACUUGUAGCACAUUUUCGACUAUCGACAAUACCGCAUAUGGAAAGUGUUCCCGAAAUGCCAGUUGACACUAAAGAAAAACUCGAAAAUGUUGAAAGAUUUUUAAAUACAAAACAAAAUUAUGAAUAUAUGGUGAAUACCUUAGUUAUAUCAGGCGAUACAACAAUUGCACAGAUAACAAGAAGAACAUUGGAAAGAGUAAUAACAAAUAAUUACGCUAAGAACUUUAAUUGGGCAGGAAGACCGCCUAAAAAAGCCUUCAAGAUUUUAAAAAUAAAAGAUUUGAUCAUA